AUUUCCUAACUGAAUGUGACAUUUGUCCAUAUGCUUGCACAUAUAGUUGACAUGUAUUAAUAACACCACUGAGGUUGUAAACGUUAGGUCUAUGGGUCAUUGUGAUCAUGGUGUCUUUAAAAUUGGACCAUUCUCUCCAAUAAGAAUCUCAUGCAAAUGGACAGAACAAUGUUACAGAAAAAACUAUACUAAGAGACAUGUAUAGCCUAGUGUAGGUCUAGCCUACUGAUAAGGUCCGCAUUUUUACAACUAAAGCUACUGGCUACCAUUUAUUAUCUCAUUCUAAAAUACAUCCUCUACAGGACUUUUGUUGUGAAAGAUGGGUUUUUAUGUCUCUCCUUCGUAAGGUGACGUCACGCUCAUGAAAUUGACAGGCCACCUGUGGGGACGAAUCGGGAUUUAAAUGGAUAUGGCCAUCAUAAAAACUGUAGGUUGUGAUACGGCACAUGGCAGAAAGAUGCACAGUCAAUACUUUCGAUUCCAGUUCCAGAGGCGGCGCAGACAGCAUCUGCAAGAUGUAUACGUGGGACGACUGGUCAAACCGCAAUAGUUCAUGUCGGGAGGGAUGCUGAUCAUAUCAACAGGUAGAACGCAGCGAGCACAACUUGUUGGAAUUAUUUCUGAGGGUGUCUAUAGCAUAAACUGUUCCUGUAGAUUCGUAAUGUUCCUGUGAUAGCCUAUAUAAUCAGUGAAAUCUAAGCUUUAUAUUUUCGCAUAAUGUGAACAAUAACCUAUUGUACGAUUUUUAGUAGGCUAGCCUACAUAUGCCCUUUAACCUCCCCAUUACAAAUGAUUUAUUCGACUAUAAAAACAGAAGGUCAGAGAAAAUCUGCACUUUGUUACUGUGUAAUAGCCCCUAAGCAAAGUUCAAAGUGACAUUUUUCUGGUUUCUCUCCGGCAGUUAGAAGAAGACCGAAGGCUUGCGAAAAGGUUAUAUUGAUUAUAGGAAAGACCCCCGCAAAGAAAGAUAAUGUCCCUGUGGUUGUGUUUACAUAAUGGCUAUAAUUAGAUUUGAAGAGCUCUUUAUUACAGUUAUCCCUGACAAAUCCAUAUCAGCCAGUUGGCUAUGUCCUCGUAUUUACUGUUAUAGUAGCCUACAAUACUUUUGUUUAAGGGUGACUGGCGAAUUGGAUGGGUAAAAUAAGACAACGUUUAUCGUUCUAUUUUAGGCCUACUUUAGACUCAUAUGGGAACACAUGCUCCCGUGUAGCUUCGACCAUAAGCAAUUGUCACUUCAGUUUGAUGGUUUAAAUAAUGACUAAUUCUCAAUUUUUGAAUUGAAUAAUUAUUUUACUAUAAUGUCAUGCAACACGUAGUUGUGAACUCGUUUUGUAGCCUUGUAAUAGCAAUGACCAUAGCCAAGUAGUAAGUUAUGCUGGUGAUGACCUCUGGAAGCAUAUAGAAAUACUAUGUUUUUAAAAGACAAUAAUAAGUUAAUUACUUUAUACUGGUCAACCUUGGAAAUCAAGCAAAUAUAAAAGCUUACUCACAUUUCUGGAACAAAUAUAACACAAAAAUCACGUGCUUUACUAUUCAGCGUGAGGUGACUUGUUAAAAACCUGUUCACUAAUCAUUUCAGCACCACCGGGGUGACCAGCUCCAAUGUCGAGUAAUAGGCUGUGCGGGACACGUUCCCGCUCAAGUCUAAUCAUUUUCAGCACCGCUGUUUUGUCCAAAUAAUCGGGGGCAUUUUAGUCGAAUGGAAGAUUUAUUUUCAACAACAAGUGUUACCUAAGCAUAAUCAAAUGUCACCAUUCACCUGUUAGGCCUAUAUGUUUUAUGAUACUAACUAGGCUACAGUGUACGUCCUAAUUGUAACUAAUAGUCUUAGAAUGUUUUAUAAAAAUACUUCAUAUUUAGAGACGCUCCUUAUAUCUUAUACCUACGAUUUGUGCAAUGUAGCCUUAUUACAACUCUCACAUACUUCUGCGCUGUGUCUAUGCUGAACAGGCUGGCU
rnacentral:lncRNA from 1 species